rnacentral:rRNA from 1 species
AUCAUGGCUCAAGAACGAACGCUGGCGGCAGGCUUAAUACAUGCAAGUCGAACGGUUGUAGCAAUACAGCAGUGGCGCACGGGUGAGUAACGCGUGGAUAUCUGCCUUUGGUUCGGAAUAACUCCGGGAAACUGGAGCUAAUACCGGAUGGUUCCUGCGGGAUAAAGAUUUAUCGCCAAAAGAUGAGUCCGCGUACGAUUAGCUAGUUGGUGAGGUAAUGGCUCACCAAGGCGACGAUCGUUAGCUGGUCUGAGAGGACGAUCAGCCACACUGGGACUGAGACACGGCCCAGACUCCUACGGGAGGCAGCAGUGGGGAAUAUUGGACAAUGGGGGCAACCCUGAUCCAGCCAUGCCGCGUGAGUGAUGAAGGCCUUCGGGUUGUAAAGCUCUUUUGGCGGGGACGAUGAUGACGGUACCCGCAGAAUAAGCCCCGGCUAACUUCGUG